GUGAUGCGUCAAGCCCCGCCCUCCCUCUCGGUCCCGGUCGGGGAGACAUGUGGCAGGUUGUGGGGUGCGGACAUCGGGCAGGAAGGCUGGCCAAGCAGGACCUGGACAGAGGGUCCGGGCAGGGGUUGGGAGGGGAGGCUCGCUGCGGAGAAGGCCUGAGCGGAGGCCCGAGCACAGGAAGGACGGGAGCCGAGCAGGUGUCCCGGCGGGUGGAUCCAUAGGGCAAUGGGGCCGGAGCCAGGCCGGCCGGGGGGAGGGGCACUGCCACGGGGCAGGGCUGGCUGUGCACCAGGGCACAGGAAGUGCCCACGGGCGGACCGGGAAGCACGGUCCCCGGGUCCCUCAACCUGUUCAGCUCCGUGUGGUGGGUGGCUCGGGCAGCACCGGCCCCACCCCCGGGGCUCCGCUGUUGCACAGAUGGAAGCCGAGGGGGACAGUGCGGCCGUGCUGGCGGCCAGGCUGCUGAGGGCGGGCACUCACCGGCAUGAUGGCAAACCGCAUGAAGAGGCAGGUGAGCCCCAGGGUCACCAGCGCAUAGGUGAGUAGUAUGACCCCGGGACGGCCCAGAGCGCCUGUCUCCCUGGAGUAGGGGCCCCGGCGCCUGGGGGCUCCGGCUCCCUGCAUCCUGGGCAGGUGCGGCGGGAGAGCCUGGACGGAUCGGGGCAGGAGGCCGGCACGGUGCGCAGGGGGCAAAAGUCCUGUGGUGCCCGGCGAGGGUGCUGAGUCACGGGGCGGGAGGCGGGCGGUGCUCACCUCUGGGACAGGGCCUGUGGGAGAGGCCAGUGCUGCAGGACCCCCGGGGAGGGCUUCCGGCCGCUUGCUGUGUGACCUUAGGCGCCUCCCCAGCCAGCUCUGGGGCUCUGGGCACACAGCUCCCCGGAACCUAGCCUGAAUCAAGCUGGGGGACCCACGUGCCCCAUGCAGGAAGGCACCAGCACCCCAUUCUAAGAGGGAGGCCCCAUUUUAGAGGCCCGGAUGGGUGCUGACUGCCGUUCAGAACCUCUGCCCGCUGGGAACUUCAUGGAGAAGCCAUCCAGGAGGAAGCAGGAAGGACCUCCAGGGAGCCAGAAGAGAAGUCACAAACCCACACAGCCUCCUACCCUAGAGAGCCCCCCGGCUGUCCUGCGGUCACUUCCGCCUGCCUGGAUGGCACUUAGGGAGCCUGGUUAUUUUGUCUGUGCUGGGGACGGCCACACACAGUAGCCUGUCUUCCGUGCUCUGGGAGCCCUGGAACCUGGCUGGGCCGGACUCUAGGGGCCCUGGCGCCUCCUGCCCCCGGGCCCCUGGUCCCCUGCUCAGCUCCAGUGACAGCUGGGUAUUGCACACAUUUGAUAAACUGCAGAUGAGCGAGACCCCAGCAUCUCAGCCCCUUCCCCCCACGGGACUCACCCUGAGAAUCCUCCCUGGAGCCGGUUUCAUCAGGCCAUGGACCCCGCCCUGGUUUAUUCACCUAUUUCUGACUCCACCCACCAGCCUGGAAGCCCCUGGAGGGGAGGCCCCCCGCCCCCCCCCCCCCCCCAGGCCCCAGGGAAACACUCCCGGUCUGGAUCCCGACUGGACGUUCGGGGAGGAGGGCCUGUUCAAGGACCCACGGCCAACAGUGGGCUUCCAGGCUACCGUGGCUGAUGUCCAACCCAAGGCGGCCACUCGCUCUACUGUUUGCCCCAAGUCAGAAUCCAGAGCAUCUGGGGGAGGGGCUCAGCAGGGAGGCCCUAUCUGUAGGACCCAGCAGCCAGUGAGCUCAGGAUGGAUGGAGCCCGGCGGGGGGGGGGGGGGGGGGGGCCUGCAGUCAGCCCCAGCAGGCUGGCAUCUCCGGGACUUACCAGCUCUUGACAAGGGGCUCGUCCUCUUGACAGAGUUUCCCCAUCUGUGAAAUGGUCUGGGCGGAUUCAGUGAGAUAACGCACGGGGCUGCUUGGCACAGAGAGGGUGUGCCGACGGCAGCUGCGUACCGACCAGCGUCCAGCCGGGGCUGGCCGAGGACAUUGCUGAGCGCCGGGCAGAGUCACGGGGACCUGUGCCCCACGGACCCCCAGGGCUCUGGAGGGCUUGGUGGCACUGUCCAUGCUGCCCAGCGUGUGAACACUAUUCCACCGUGCCCUACGGGUUAUUAGGGAACGGCACAUGAUGGAGGUGUCGGGGUCUGAGUCUCCCCACCAGCCCACGGCCCUGCACUCAGAGCAAAUGUCCAGCUUACGUGACAGUGGCAGCUGGAGGGGGCCGCUGGUGUUGCGCUGUGCUCGGCCACCCCUCUAGGCGUGUGGAGACAGUGGCCACGGGGAGGGUGCUGGCCACCGCGCCAGGCACGUGUGGACACGGCCCCCGAGACUCUUCAGGAGCCUUGCAGGGGAGAAAGCAGAGG